rnacentral:rRNA from 1 species
GACGAACGCUGGCGGCGUGCUUAACACAUGCAAGUCGAACGGAAAGGCCCUGCUUUUGUGGGUUGCUCGAGUGGCGAACGGGUGAUUAACACGUGAGUAACCUGCCCUUGACUUUGGGUUAACUUCAGGAAACUGGGGCUAAUACCGGAUAGGAGCUCCUGCUGCAUGGUGGGGGUUGGAAAGUUUCGGCGGUUGGGGAUGGACUCGCGGCUUAUCAGCUUGUUGGUGGGGUAGUGGCUUACCAAGGCUUUGACGGGUAGCCGGCCUGAGAGGGUGACCGGCCACAUUGGGACUGAGAUACGGCCCAGACUCCUACGGGAGGCAGCAGUGGGGAAUAUUGCACAAUGGGCGGAAGCCUGAUGCAGCAACGCCGCGUGCGGGAUGACGGCCUUCGGGUUGUAAACCGCUUUCGCCUGUGACGAAGCGUGAGUGACGGUAAUGGGUAAAGAAGCACCGGCUAACUACGUG